AUGUCUCCUCCACAGAAAGAAACCGAACGCGGGUCUAUCUGUCAGCAGAAUCCAGAAUCGCAAGGUUUGGAUCAGAUCCCAACUCCAAAAGGCACCUGGGAACCAAAGUAUAUUUUUGCUGAACAAGAUUGCACGCCAAAGUAUCAAACCAAAGACCUGAGCCAAAGCUAUGCUUUGCUUUCUCCCUUGAAGGUCGCCAAAGUUUCCAAGCCUGUGCAUUCAGGUUAUAAGAAUCACAACCUCAAUGGCAAGCUGCAUACCGAAAACCUCAAACCAACAUCAAAAAUGGCAAUGGGAGGAGGAUCGCAUUUGCAGGGACACCGGGCGCCGAGGCUGUUCGGCAGGGAAAGGCCGGUCCAUGCCGCCCUGGGUGGACGCGAAGCGGCGGACAUCAUCCUGUGGAGGAGGCCGAAGGUGUCGGCGUCGAUCCUCGGCGCGGCGACGGCGGCGUGGGGUCUGUUCGAGGUGGCGGAGUACCACUUCCUGACGCUGGCGUGCUACGCCGCCAUGAUUACCAUGCUCACCUUCUUCAUCUGGACCAACGCCUCCGCUUUCCUGAACCUGCCGGUUCCAAGGAUCCCUGAGACAAUCCUGUCGGAGAGGACGGCGAAGCAGGUGAUCCUGGCCCUGCACAGGCGGCUCACCUGGUUCGUGCACCGGCUGUACGCCAUCGCCUGCGGGGAGGACAUCAAGAAGUUCAUCAUGACGGUGGUGUCUCUGUACAUCGCGUCGGUCGUCGCGACCUGCUUCAGCUCCCUCACCCUGCUCUACCUCGUUGUGUUCUUCACGAUGACGGUGCCGGCGCUGUACGAGCGGUACGAGCACGAGGUGGAGCACCUGGUGGCCACGGGGGCGCGCGACGUCCGUACCCACUUGGCCAAGGUGGACUCCGGCGUGCUCCGGAAGAUCCCCAGAGGCAAAGGCGCCACCACCGCCGCACACGGGACGACGGCCAACAACGUGCACGGGUGGCAUCGCUCGCACGUCAACUAA
rnacentral:rRNA from 1 species